rnacentral:tRNA from 1 species
GGGCCCAUAGCUCAGCGGUUAGAGCAGCCGGCUCAUAACUGGUUGGCCGCUGGUUCGAAUCCAGCUGGGCCCA